GACGGAGGGUGCAAGCGUUGCUCGGAAUCACUGGGCGUAAAGGGUGCGUAGGCGGUCUCGCAAGUCUGGCGUGAAAGCCCAAGGCUCAGCCUUGGAAGUGCGCUCGAAACGGCGAGGCUGGAGUGCCGGAGGGGAGAGUGGAAUUCCCUGUGUAGCGGUGAAAUGCGUAGAGAUGGGGGAGAACACUCGUGGCGAAGGCGGCCAGCUAGACCAGUUCUGACACUGAGGCGCGACAGCGUGGGGAGCAAACAGG
rnacentral:rRNA from 1 species